UUUUGAGCAGCAAGUCCCAAGAUCAAGAAAUCAGAAGGAACUAAUACUUUAACUAAUUAGUAGUAAUGAAAAUUUACUAGACAUCAAUGACAAAUUUACAAGGCAAAUUUAUUUCCAAAGUACAUUCAUAUAUAUCACAGUCUUUGCUACAGCAGUGUGUUCCUCUCAAGUCACCCACUCGUUCCUCCAGGGGUCAUUGGAGAGUUAUUAUUUUAAGUCUAGUUCCCAGGUAUGACUUCCAAUGCAGUGAAAGCUUCUACUGAGACUGUCUAAAACAUCUCUUGAAUCAUCUGCCUAGAACACAGCAAGAACCAGGAAAUGAGCUGACAAGACUGAGCAAAAGAGGCAGCAUCAAGCUGAUGAACUGAGGCGUGGGCAUUUUACUCAUGGGAAAGGCCCUCGGAACCCACGCUGAGCAUGCGCUGAAAACAAGUGUGAUCAGUGGGUUCCAAACACCCAGCAGAUACAUGUGAGGGUGAUCUGGCUGUGACUUCUGUCACCCCCUUGAUUACCAGGGUUGAUUCAGUUGAUCUGGCUGGCUAGGUGGGUGUCCCUUUCCCCACUUACUGCUCCAUGUGUGUCCCUCCUGAAUCUGUGCGCUUGGUUGAAGAGGAUGACCAUCCCGGAUAGAGGAGGACCAGUCUUUGGUCAAGGGUAUACAAGUAGCUGUGCCCGCUUGCUAGAACCUCCAAACAAGCUCUCAAGGUCCAAACAUCCAGCAGAUAAUUAGCAAUGGAUUAGAAAAGGGAGCUGGGAAGGUGGAAGGAAGCAGAAACAGUGAGCCCCCGAAUGAAAGAGACAGAAAAACUGAAACCUCAGAAGAGAGCAGUGUGGGGCUAAUGAACCUAGAGGCAAAGGGCCCUACCCAUCAACAGCCCCCAUGAAGGUAGUCACUGGGGGGCCUGAGGAUGCACCAUCAGGGAGAAGUUCAGUUCAAUGUAAUCUGUGGAAGAAAGCAGAGAGCACAGCCUGUCAUGGAGAAGGAUUUCCAUUCAAAACCAUAGAUGUCAUAGAAGUUUCGAUGCUUAAAAGACCUGUGAUUGUCUAGAAAGCUUGGCUUUUCCCAAAGGAUUCUGUGAGGCUGAAGUGUUACCAGGUGAUUAAGGGUCUCACCCUGUCACCCAGGCUAGAGUGCAGUGACACAAUGAUAGCUUAUUGUAACCUCAAACUCCCGGGCUCAAGGGAUCCUCCUGCUUCAGCCUCCCAAGUAGCUAGGAUUACAGGUGAAGAGAAAUGAAGCUAACAUGUUGAAAUGAGUGGCCCCAAGGAUUACCAGAAAAGAAGUUAAUGUUCAGAAAGAGAAAAUAAAAGUUCUCUGUAUUUUAUUCCCCUCAGAGAUAACAAAAGUUGACAUUUUGUUGUAUUUUUCUCUAAGCUUUUUUUUUCCUUUGCUAUAAAUGCAAAAGGCAUCACAAUAUUUGGUAAACAUUUUCCUCUUAUUCAGUAGUUUCUGAAAACAUGAUGUUAAAUAGUUGUGUAACAUUCUCUCAUGCAGAUGUCCCAUAGUUCAUAGUUCAUUUAACUUCUCUUUUCCUGUGGGGUAUUUGAGCUGCUUCCUAUUUGCCUGUGUAAAGAAUCCUGUGAGAAACAUGUUUGCCCCUUCCCUUCCCUUCCCUUCCCUUCCCCUUUCCCUUCCCUUCCCCUUCCCUUCCCUCCUUUCUCUCUCUCUCUCGCUGUCUUACACACUCUCUCUCUUUCUCUCUUUCUUUCUUUCCUUUCUUUCUCUUUCUUCUCUUGCUGUGUCACCCAAGCUGGAGUGCAGUGAUCAUAGCUCACUGCAGCCUUGAACUCUGGCAAAUUAAACAAACAUUUUUUGUAGAGAUAGGUUCUCACUAUGUUGCCCAGGCUGAUCUUGAACUCCUAGCCCCAACUGAUCCUUCUGCCUUGGCCUCCCAAAGUGCUGGGAUUAUACUCAUGAACCACUGCAGCCAGCCUGCAUCACAUCUUUAUAGGCAGAGAGGCCUGAUUUGUCCAGAGAUUGUUGGGCAGUCUAGAGAGGCAGAAAGCUACUAUCAUUAUCGUGGUGAUCUAAAAAUCACCUAAAUGUGCAAAAAGCUCUUCUAAGUGUGGGGCACAAAGAUGGAAAACACAUAUUUUUGACUAUAAAGAGUUAGCAAUUUAGUUACUACUUAGGAGGCAAAGUCUACAUGAAAGAUAAUAAUUAAUACAAGGCAAUAACUAGCCCCAAGGCAUGAAAUGUGGACCAGCACAUGUUGUACAGAGACUUGACACUAAAAACUGUUGAUUUAUUUUUAUUUGCAAGAGCUGAGAGUUUGGGCCACUGAUGAUGUGUGAUCCAAAGUGUGGUGUGGAUUUAUAAUAAAACAGAACUGGUUUCAAC
rnacentral:lncRNA from 1 species